GCUAAGAACACCUUUUAUUUUUCUGGCAUGUUCUUUGUACCACAAAAGUCACAUCUUACAGAGCCUACACUAGUGGUGUAGCCCCAUGUCUUGGAUCUUUGUCGCAGCAGCAUUCGUCCUUCAUCGGGUUUUUCUUGCUGAUGCAGUGGAAGCCAACACCAGUGUAGCCCCAUCCUCGACAAGCAAGCAAGCACCCAUAAGGUCUGCAAAUUGGGUACUGCCUGCAAUCUAUCUCUGCUCGUGGCGGUGGCAGUUUAUUUUCCUGGCAGCAAUUGAAGCCUACAUAUCCAACAUAAAAAACAUCCAACCAGACAGUAUCAGAGACUUCCUCCUGCAGCACUAGGAGCCUACAUAUCUAACACAUUAAUUUCAUUAAAUUUAUUGGAGCACUAACACUAACUAGUGUUUUGAUAUCAUAAAAAAAUGAAGUAUACAUAAAACUAUGUUUUACCUGAGAGGCUAGCAGCUCGGGAGGAGGGUGACGUAGCAAACAUGAUCCCAAGAACCAAGAACAAUGCAGCCCACAGGUACACAAUCCUUGUCGUAUAGAUCUUGAGUAGUGCCAUGAAGAAGAGAAUCUUGCUACUCUCCUCUUUCUGUGACAAGGAGAAGAUUUCUAAUGUUUGAAUUAUGCAUCUACUGUAAUGAUAUUUAUAGGGAAGAAGAACCAUCCUCAUUUAACAUAUGUAUCUUAAUAAGAUUUAUGUGGUCUAAUAGAUAUAUUGCACUAGUGUUUUGAUAUCUUAAACUAUCUUAUUAUACUACAAUAAAUAUACUUGAGUAUCCAAUCUAAUCCCUUACAAAAAUGUGUUGCCUUACAUUUAUGGUAGCUACUAUAUUAAUUACAUGAGCGCUCGAACAUCUUCUUAGAUGCUAUUAAAUACAUGUAUCUGGAGCAGUCCUGCAGCUGCUGUCGAUUGAGCAGUCACAAUACAAGGAAAAAAUGUCAGGCUGGACCCACUUUUUUUCAUUAAGUAUAUAUUUAGACCCAAAAAAUAGUGUUAAGGAUGUCAAUGUGUCAUCACAUCUAAACCAUCACCACUUGUACCUUGUGAUGUUUUCCCAUAAAUUCAUUAAAAAUGUGUGGACAUUCUACACAACUUAUAUUGAAAAUUUUCUGACCCUUUUAUGAAACCAAAUGUAUGUCACAAAAUAAUUAGUUCAACAUGUGAAAAUACAAUUCUUCACAAAUACCCAAGCCGGACUAUGGUUAGGGUAGGUUUUUUCUGAUGAAACACUACUAUGCUAGAACAAGCAAUCAUUGUUAGGGCCGUUGCCAGUCAUUCUGGAGCCAAUAGUGGUUUCUUAUCACUCGUGGUUCGUAAGCCUAUAGGAUCCAGAAAAUUUAUUGGAAGCGCUAUUCACCCGAAGUCACCAAUCAUUGCCAGCUCAAACCAUCAUCCAUCAGUGAAAUAUGACUGCCGGGUCAUGCGCCAAACAUGUAGUGGUAGGUGUCAAAUUACUGGUAGCUAAGGAUAUGACCCCCAACAUUGAUAUAUUACUGAUAGGUCGUUGUCACACCCAAAUUUAAGGAUAAAUUUGAGUACAAUAAUCUCAUAUGCGCCCCAGGAAUAGUCGCGCACACAAGUCGACAAAUUACAAAUAUAUCAUCACAAGUGUCUUACAUAACAUUAUUACAACACAAAUAUAUCAAAGUCUGCGACAAACGGAAAUAAAACACAUAACUAGCUAAGCUUGGUAGCUCCAAUCACAGGGACAACCGACUGGUGGAUCGCCAACCUAGAAGUCCUCAGGGAAUUCUUCAUAAUAGCUUUCAUCUGUUAUCCAUCCGGGAUUUUUGUCCAAAAAGAAAUAAAGAGACAAGCGUGAGUACAUCUCGUACUCCGCAAGCAUAACAUAGGAUUUUAUGCGGCUCAAAAAGGUCAGACACUGGCUACUGUAGUUAUCAUUUUAAUUGGUCAAUGUUUUAAUCCUAUUUUAUCAUGAAAUAUGCUUAAGUUCCCGAUUAGCCCAAAUGAGUACAUGAUAAUAUCACCGUUAACCUUCACGGCUAACACCAUCACCUUCACGGUUAAACCACAUUAAUCAUCACGAUCAAUGCGUCAGAUUUUCAUAAGUUAUUUCCCCAUAACCAUCCACACCCAACUAUUCCGUAAGGGUCCAAGGCCGCUCAUGUCCGAGAGCACGGCUAGUAUACCAGUUUGAUCAAACUCUGCGCAGAGGUGUGCACUUUUCCCGUAAGUCGUGUUACCCAUAUGCCCGGGGUUUGCAAGACCUACUAACACUGCCAAGGUGAGCGGGCAAGGAACACUAUGAAGCCUUCCAUAGGCCACGUCUAACCAGUUAGGGCCGCGAGGUUUCCUCGGCAGGCAGAUAUAGAGGACCCCCCUUUCCUAUGGCACAUUUCCAUCACGGCUAUACACAUAGGAACAGAAGCAGUUCUAUACCCAAAGUGGCAAGCCCCUCUUGCGCCCUUUCGGGUAACCUCUAACCAGCUUGAUGAGAUCCUACUACUGAGCUAAAGUUAGAGCCAUAUAACCAUCAUGGUUGCACUGUAAGUCCCGGAUAGUCGCUUACAGAGAAGUCCUUACGGAGGGUCUAGGUCAACUUCGGUCAGUUGCACCGUAGCCCUUUUCCCAUUCAUUUGCCAUCAUAUUUAUUAAAGUCAAAGUGAUAGUAAGGUCUCAAUUACUUAAAGCACUAGCAACGCUACCCACAUGCAUUCUACCCAUAGGUGUCAUAAAUAUAUAGUCAGGUGGCUAGGAUGUCCUUAGGGUUAUCAAAAUUAGACACAUGCAGAUGCGUAAUUAAUUAAGUGAAUAGGUGUACAAGGGAAACCCAUGUUAUACUUGCCUUCAGUGAAGGGUAGCUGCUGCUGGUCCUGCUGCUCCUCGGAGUAAAACGGAUCACCCACGGACACGUCACCGUCUGGGCUCGAUCGGUACCACACAACAACACGCAUUCCAAGUUCAAUCAUACAAGCAAACAAUCCUUUAGUUAAAACAGUACACCAACAGAUCAAAAAUGAAAUAAAAUAUUUAAAGACAGAACCUAUGUUUCGCUACGAACACAUAGAUACGAAGAUCACGAAAAUCGGAGCUAAAACGAUCAAGUUACAAAUUUUCGGCGAUUUCCUAUAGGCAUUUAAUUAAUUAAACCUAACCCUGAAAUUAAAAAGUUGCAAACUACAGAAACAAUAGUACUAACAUAUAGAGAAUUUAAUUACGAAUCCAACGCAAUUCGAACGGGUCAAAUCGGAGCUAAAACAAAUAUUUUAUGGCCAAAACAAUGCAGUGGCAAUCUUGUAAAUAAAACAUGAUUUAAUCGGAUUUAAAUAAAUUCAGAAAUUCUAGAAUUUCUCCUGGCCGAGGACUGCGGGUUGAUUAGGGAGAAGUAUAGGGUUUCUUUAGCAAAAUUCACCCACGAAGGGGUAUGGAGCAUCCUGGGCCACUGGAUCGCGAACGGACGGCUAGGAUUAGAAGGGGGAAAGGGGAAGGAGGAGGCCCGCGGCCGGAACAGUGCAAGGGCGGCGGUGCGCCAUGGCCGGCGAGCCAAAACUCGCCGGAGUUGGCCGCGACAGGGCUACGGGGCUCGGUUUUCAAAUUCGACAGCACAGGGAGGUAGAGGAGGGCAAGGGGAGCUUGAUUCCAACCCUUGCGCGUCCGAGGAGGGGCUCGCGCACCACGGUCCGCGGCGGCGCCACUGCCGACCCGCCGGAGCACGCGGUUACAGCGCUAUAACGCAUCAAAACGCGAAGGGAGAAGUGCGGGAGAGAGCGGGGGCGCUGGCGAGCUCACCGGGGAGGAAGAAGGGGACGGGGACGGACCAAAUUCGCGGGGACGCCGUGCAGCGGUUCACGACGGCUUCGACGAUUUCUCUGAGCGCACCAGGAGUGGAAACGGAGGCGAGGAGAGGGGGGAAAUGGGGAGGGGAAGGUGCUCGGGCUCGCGGGCUCUCCACUACUUGUUGAGACACGAGGAAGAGGAGGGAGGUCGUGGGGAAGCGGGGGGCGCGGCUCGGCAGUUCCUGGGAGAGAGAGAAGCGGGGCAGACGGUUGGGGGGAAGAGGGAGCUGACAGGCGGGCCCGCUGUAACAUCCCCGAUGUUACGGUUACUAAAAUUUGGAUCAUGUCAUAAUGAGCAUUGCAUUGCAUACCUGUUAAGCACAUUAUUAUGCAUCCACCUAAAACAAGUUUAUUUUGAAUGGUUGUGCUUAGGGAAUUAAAGUGUGUAUAUGUGGUGUAUGGAUGCUUGUGUUGGGUGCUAAAACCCAAGGGUGAACGAUUCCCGAAAGAUUAGGGGGGAAACCCUGAUUUUUGAACCCUAGAGUUGCCCCCUUUUGUGCAAUUCAAAAACCAAGCAAAAUUUGAGGUUGAGUUCAAAAGCAAAGUUGUAGAUCUUGUCAAGGUGUACAACUUUGGUGUUUUGAGUUUUUGAAGUUUCAUUAUAGAAUUCAAAGUAAUUUUGAAAAUACAGAUUUCCAGAAAGUGUCCCCUUUUCCAAUUUGAACCUCCAAUUCAAAAUCUAUUUGGAAUUUUGAAACGUGACCAACAUGAAAGUUGUAGAGCUCAAAAAGUUGAACAACUUUCAUGUUGGGAGUUUUUCAAGUUGUUUGGAAAAAUCAAAAGUAAUUUUGGAAAUCCUGAUCUGCCCGAAUUAAAAAAUUUGAAUUUUCCCAAAUUGGAUUUUGAACUUCAAACUGUUUGGUCAAAUUCACCAUGUUCCACUCAAAAUUAGCUCUGGUCACCAAAAUAUGAUUUGUAGCUUAUAAAAUUUUGCACAACUUUUAUUUUGGUGGCAAUUUGGCUUUAGUUCAAAUUUUGGUCGAAUUUCACAAAAAACAGAGAAGAGGGGAUAAGGGCCAGCUACAGUGAUCCGAUGAGGAUCACCGGCCCCUGUCCAACGCAGCCGCCGCGCAGGCAGCGCCGCGCGCAUGCGUGCAAGCACGCAGCUGCUUGCUGCCAGUGCCGCCAGGUGACGUGGACGCCCCGGGCUCGCUUCCUCCUCCACUUGAGCCCCAGCGUGGACGACGCCGCCCGAUUUCUCUGCCCACGACCAAGGAACCCCGACGGCUCUCUCUUUCAAAUUCACCGUGCUCAGUCCCUCUCGAGCCAAAUUGAGCACUCCACCGCGUUCGCCACCUCCUUGCGAACCCAGUGCACCCUGAAAGGUCCUUGUUUGGUUUUGGUAAUUGAGUGACAACUUAGGUGGACUAAUAGUGUUUAUAUGAGAUACACAGGAGAUUAGUCCACAGGUGAUUAUGUGAUGAUGGAGGAGCUCAUUGCAUAUGAGACAUGACAUGGAGUCAUGUGACCAAGGUGGAGAAGAUCAAGAUGAGGCUUGGCUCGAUGGACCGGUUGCAAGAGUGAAGGGCAAGUCGGAGGCUUUGAAGCGAGGGACCGCGUGUGACGGUGAAGCUUGAGCAAGACUUGGCGCUGAUGGACCGAGGCAACGGUGAAGAGCAAGUGAGGUCAAGAUCGAUGAACCAAUACGGUCACAUGAUGAUAUGAAGUGGAUCAUAUCAUUUGGUGAUUGGUUGGUGCAUGUGUUGCAUCAACAUUGGAGGAGAUGGAAUGGAAAGCGCAAGGCAAAGGUAUAACCUAGGGCAUUUCCAUUUCACCGGUCAUAGGUGUGUAGAGAAGUUUAUGACCGAAUUUAGGAUAGAUGGCCGUACUAUCAAGAGGGGCAAACUUGUUUGCAUAUCGGUCAUCUAGUGCCACUUGAGCGAUCUAACUUUGCAUACGUGUUAGGAUCGAGUGGCGUGGCAAGUUUGAGAGGCUAACUCCUUUGGGAAAAUGUUUGUGAAAAUGCUAACACACUUGCACAUGGUGGUGUACACUUGGUGGUGUUGGCACAUUUACAAAGGAGGUGGAGUUCCUAGGGUUGAGAGGCGUGUGGGUUCCUCUCUCCCAUUCGGCGCUUUUCGAGAAAAUGAAGUGCAUAUUUUCUAUUGCGCCGGUGGGAAAUUUGGAGAAGUCGCGGGAGUGUUUCUCAGUUGGAAACACUCACCGGACGCUCUGUGCGGAGGCACCGGACGCUGGCCUUUAGCGUCCGGUGUGCUGUCGGGUGUAGCAGAGUGCACCGGACGCACCGGAGUGAGUCCGGUGCUCAGCGUCCGGUGUGCAGGCGGUUUGGCGACCCUCUCUGCGCAUGAGUCCGGUGAGCACCGGACGCUCAGGGUGCGUCCGGUGGCUUGCGUCCGGUGACCGUGCGAGUUUGCGGAGCUCUCUGCGCACGAGUCCGGUGUGCACCGGACGCGUCCGGUGUGGACUAGUUGAGCGUCCAGUGGUGCUGUGUAGGCACGCGUGCGGAGUAGCCGUUAGCGGCAACGGUCGAGUUCAAACGGCUAGUGACACGUGGCUAACGCCUGAGCACCAGACGCUGGGGGUUGAGCGUCCGGUGGCUCCCUGUGAGCGUCCGGUGCCCACGUGUUUUGCCCAGUGAAGGGGCAACGGCUAGUUUAGCCCUUGGGGCUAUAAAUAGAAGUGGUGGCCGGCCUUGGCUGGUGCUGAGCACCCUUGGGACUUAGUGUCCAUGCUUGGGGAGUGCUAGGAAAGCCUCUAACUCACUUGUGCUUGCAAGAGUGUGAAUCAAUAGCGAUUGAGUGAUUCUAGUGCGUUGCAUUGAGAGAUUGCAUCGAGUGGCACUAGGUGUUCGUGUUGCAAGCCGGUGGUGCUUGUUACUCUUGGAGGUUGCCACCUCCUAGACGUCUUGGUCGCUUGUGACUCCGUCGAAGCACGCAAGGAGAUUGUGCGGUGCUCCGGAGAAGAGAUUAUGAGGGGUACGGUGCUCACUCCGCGGGGAUCGCGAAGAGCAACUCUAGUUGAGCGAGACGUGAAGAGCAACAAGUGGUCCGGCCGGGUCAAGUGCUAGAGCUUGUGGUAAGCACACCACGUGGGAGAGUGUGACUUGCGGGUCACCACUAGCAAGAGGACCGGCGGCAACCUUGGAGCUUGUCUCAACGGGGACGUAGCUUGGUGGCAACCAAGUGAACCUCGGGAGAAAAUCAUCGUGUCAACUUUGUUCUUCCCGUUGGUUUGAAAGUCUCUAACACAAGCUUGUAUUUACAUUCAUAUAUUUGUGCUUGUGUAGUUGCUCUUGUAUUUAGUUAGCUUGUGUAGCUUGCUAGUUACCUUCUUGCUUGUGUAGCUAGAAGUAGUUCCCUUGCGUGACUAAUUUGGUUUGUGUAACCUUGUUAGUCACAUUGCUUAGUUUGUGUAGCUAAGUAAGUUGUGCUCUCUAAUUUGGCAUUAGUUGCCUUGUUAUUGAGCUUGCUAGUGAGCUUAGGCUUUGUGCGCUUUGCCUCACUAGUUUGUGUAGGAGCUCCCCCGGUUUGCAAAGUACUAGUUGCAUAGGUUUGUGUGACCUUGCUCCUAGAAUUGUUUAGGUGAGCUCUUGCUAAGGUGGCACCUUGCUUGCUUGUUUAGGAUCUUUUCAAGGUGCUAGAGAACUUAGAUAGAGGGGUGUAGUCUUGGCUAGACCGAUAGUUUUAAUUCCGCAUUUGUUUCGGUUAGCCGGCGUAGUAAAUUUUAGAAAGGACUAUUCACCCCCCCUCUAGUCCGCCAUCUCGACCCUUCGCACCCCCGAGCUCACUCCCUAAUCCACUCAAUCGCCGGAGCCCCUCUGUCUUCUCCAACUCCGGCCGGAACCGCCGCCGUGGAGCUCUUCCCGUGGCCACGGUGUUCCCGUCGGUACAACGCCUCUCUAGCGGCCGUUUCAAGUUCUUUCUGUGCUCCAGUUGCUCAUGCGCUCGCUCCUUCUCCCUGGGCGUGAACAGGUCCACCGGAACGACAUCGCCAAGGCUAGAGCACCCGCCCGACGACACCGCCUCCGUCGCCAGCGACCUUGGCUACUCCCGCGAGCCUUGCAACAUGAGCACCACCCUCUCUAACCUGCGUGGAAGCUCUCUAGCUCGUCCGUUUGCGCUCUACCGAGCUCUAGUGGCCGGUCUACGGGUGACCGCCAUGGCCGCCCGCCUCUUGCGUGGCCGAGGUGGAAGGGAAAGGGUAGAACGAGAGUAGAGGAUGUCGACAGAGUCGCAAAGGCGAGGCGAAGCCGAUGCGCACACGCGCGCGGGCCGGGAACCACGCUAGCGGCGGCCAGAACCGUGGCCGAGCCGCCGUGCGCGGUAGAGACGAAGCUGACAAGUGGGGUCUUCCUGUCAGCGUCUCGCAGAGAGGAGAGGAGGGGGAGCCUGACGAGCGGGACCCGCCCGUCAGCGACCGCCUGAGGAAGGAGGAGGCGCGCGCAGCGCCCGUGUGGGCCGAGCGGGAGCGGGCCGGCCUGCAGGCCGAUUUCCCGGCUGCUCGCUGCGCAGCAGUUUUUCUUUUUCUUUUUGUGCAGUUUUUGCUUUAAGUUUGAUUUGGUGUAGAAAAUUGUAGAUUAAUUCAAAAAUCAUGGAAAUUUUUGUAUAGCUUCCAUAAAAUGAAUAGAACAUAGGAAAAAUAUUAGGUUCUGUUUUCUAAUAGUUUGCAAGUGUAUAAAAAUUACCUCUUUUAUUUAAGGAAUAAAACUUCUAGGAAUUUUAAUAAUUUAUUGAUAUGUCCAAAAAUCACCAAAAUUUGGGGAAUGUCUCUGAGGAUUAUUCCCUGGCUCCACACAAAAUUUGGUGGCAUUGGGAUAAUGUUUGAAUAAAAUAUUAUUAAACCCCUAUUUAGUACUUAAAUAAUAAUUCUAAAAUAAUUAGAUGAUAAUUAGUUAAAUCCUCCUAAUUGGGGUUGAGUGAUUUUGAAAUUGUGUGGUGACCUAAGGUCAUUAACCCUAACGACCUUUGGCAUUUGGUUAUUGUUUGGCACUAAUGCUUAAUUACUGUCAUUAAUAAUUAAUUAAGAAUUAAUUAAGGUAAAUAGGAUUAAUAAGUAAUUAAUUUGGGAUAAUUAUGAAUUAAGAGGAGUCUUAGUUUACAGAUGCAACCUCUUGGGUAAAGACACUGAGUUGAUAAGCAACUUUAAUUACUGUUUAGUCUAUGUUGCACCAAGAAGGCAAGUUGUACUCGACUUAGUCCUUCUUGCAUAUUUGUCAUACGCAUAUCAUGAGCAUUCAUCCUUUUUGCGUAUAGUGCCCGUGACCGAAGGAGCGACCGUUGAACCGAACCCCGAGGUCGGUGCUCCGUUCGAGGAAGUCGGAUCCGAGACUUGGGAAGUCUCCGAGGGUCCCUCUCUGCCCUGCAACCAAGGCAAGCCCCGGAUGCAUUAACCCCUCCUUGAAUGUUUUAAAUCUUUUGUCACUUAUGAAUUGAAAAUGCUGCAUUAGGUAGUUGAGAAUUGGGUUAACCUACUUGCUGCAUUCACUACCUUGAUUUUUGUUAUCUUGUCCUUUGCACCGUUUAUUUUGAAAAUUGCGUAGAGAUGCUUAGCCCUGCUACUAGAUAGGUUUUCAAACAAAGUUUGAAGGGUUGUUGUGGAAUACACUUAUGAUCUAUGAAAUUUCAAUUUGAGACCGGUCGGUGGACUUGCUUUAAGAAUGGAGUCUUAAAGUAGUGUCUCCAACUGUGUCGGUUAAGGACCGUUCCGUUGAUGGCCUGCUGGUUGAGACUUUAUAGUACUAGCCACUUGCCCUCGGUAAGACCAAUUUUGUAAUCCCUCGACGCGAACAGCUACUCGCGCACUACGCGUGGAGCGAUGGCGAGAGUAGUGUGUACCCACCUUACGGAUCUGAGAUGACCGGGAAACAUCUAGAUCGGCUGUAGGAUGGUGGAGUACUGUGCUCUCGGGUGCCGCGAACCUGGUCAAAUUUGGGGAGAGCUUGAUUUGGGUUGACAUAUGCAAGAUUUGGUUCUACAUAUGUCGGGUGGUUAGGAACUCCAGCUGGAUUGCUAAGCGAUUCGAAUCGUCGUUGCUCCCCGAUUGGGAGACUCAAUUCCUUCGACCCUCAUCGUAGAUAAUUAUGCAACUAAGUGAUAAAAUGAGAAAGGGGAAAUUGUCUCAUGAGGUUCGGAUCCCAAUUCCCGGACUCAGAGUGACAUGAAGCUAUGGCCGUUGGAUAGAUAAUACAUUGAAUAAGGACUAGGAGCUCACAGACUUGUCUGUGAGAGGCAACUAGAUAGACUGUCCUCGAACUUCUCAGCCUCUCAAGGAGAGGAAUUCGCUGGUAAAACUUGAAAGUAAGGAUGCACUAUUAGUAAGCUUUUCAGCAAAACACUUUGGCUCCUUGCUCAGCCACUCCUUGUCUACCCUAAGCCUGCAUUCCCUAAUUUCUCCUCUUUUCCUACCGGGUAAGUCUUGUUGAGUACUCCUGUACUCAGGGUUUUAUAACCCCUGUUGCAGGUGAAGCUCAAGACCCGACUUGUUUCAGACCCUGUUGUGUGACCGUCGUCGAGGUUGACGACGAGGAAGAGUGAGCGUGACCCAUGGGCAGGGUCUGUAAAUUUGAAAUCUAUGUUCUAAAGUUUAAGUUGCUCCGCUGGACCAGGCUUGUAAUAACACUUUACUAUUUGGAAGAACUCCAUUUGUAAAUUAAGUUAUGUAAUACUUCCGCUGUUUUACUCUAAAAUUUUAUUUUGAUCGUAUAUCGUCUGUGAUACUGCAACGUCUUCGCAACGAGUGAUCCUGGUGUUAAGGUGGCCACUUGCUAUCCUGUAAGGGAGAGAAGAAGUUCUCGUUAAGUGACCAUCGCUAGUGGUCAGGACGAGUUUGCUUAAUACUCCACAGGUAGCGGUGGGAUGAGCGUCCUGAGGUGUUCAUCGGACUUCUGGAGUGGGAGGAUCCCCGGCGUCACCGUCAGAGGUCCUUGGGACAAUGACAGGUGUCGGUGGGCCCAAACACUUAGGAGGUUCUGCCACACCCGGCCUGUCAGCGGGGAGAGAGAGAGGGAAGGGGGAGCCGGCCAGCUGGGCCUGGCCCAAGAGAAAGGGGGAGGGGGCGCGGGGUAGCCGGGCCCAGAAGGCCGAAAGGGGAAAAUAGGAGGGGGAAACUUCCAGUUUCCUUUUAUAUAUUUUUUAUACCAAAUUUCCAAUUGAAAUUUUGAGCAGGAAAAAGAAAACAAAUAAAACAUUUUGUUUUCCAACCAAUCAUCACAAAAGAAAUGCUCCAGCAUGAAUGCAACAAAAAUUAUUAUUCUAAACUUAUUUUAAAUUUUAAUUUCCCCAAAUUUAUUUAUUUUCCUAUAUUGAAAAUGCUCACAAAAUAAUUCAUUUAAAUUCAAUUCAUCUAUUUAAAAGAAAUAAAUUUUUGGGUGUUACAAUUCUACCCCCCUUAAAAAUAAUCUCGUCCUCGAGAUUGAGACGGUGCUUACUCAAAGAGAUACGGAUAAGAUUGUCUCAGCUCGUCUUCUCUUUCCCAAGUGGCUUCUUCUUCUUUAUAUCGGUGCCACUGCACUUUGCACAUCUUUAUAAUCCGAGUUCGGGUAACUCUUUCUGCGGUUUCUAAGAUCUUGAUUGGAUAUUCCUCAUAAGUUAGAUCUCCUUCAACUGUGAGUUCUUCCAAUGGAAUUUGUUCCUCAGGCACUCGCAAACAUUUCUUCAGUUGCGACACAUGGAACACAUCGUGAAUACCUGACAUACCCACAGGCAACUCUAACUGAUAGGCCACUUCUCCACAUCUCCUAAGAAUUCUGAACGGUCCAACGUACCUUGGUGCCAAUUUACCCUUCAUAUUAAACCUCCUGACACUUCUCAUAGGUGACACCUUCAAGUACACAUAGUCGCCUAUCUCGAAUGCCAAAUCUCUUCUAGUAUCAGCAUAACUCUUUUGUCGAGACUGGGCUACUCUCAAGUUGUCCCAUAUUUUCCGUACUUGUUCCUCAGCAUCUCUAAGAACAUCUGGUCCAAAUACUUGACUCUCACCAGUUUGAUUCCAAAACAAAGGUGUUCUACAUUUCCGCCCAUACAAUGCUCCAAACGGUGCCAUAUCGAGACUUUUCUGGUAACUAUUAUUAUAUGAAAAUUCAGCAUAUGGCAAACUAGUGUCCCAACUGGUACCAUACUGUAACGCACAUGCUCUCAACAUGUCUUCUAGAAUCUGAUUUACUCUUUCAGUCUGCCCAUCGUUUUGGGGAUGAUACGCGGAACUAAAGUUCAACUUUGUUCCCAAUGAUUCAUGUACUUUAUGCCAAAACUGUGAUGUGAACUGUGUACCCCGAUCAGACACGAUCUUCUUCGGAACUUCGUGCAGACUCACGAUUCUAUCCAUAUAUAAUUUUGCCAAGUUUGCACCAUCAUAGUUGGUCUUAACGGGCAAAAAGUGAGCAACUUUAGUGAGUCAAUCCACUAUUACCCAAAUUGAAUCAUACCCACGCUGAGUGCGGGGCAAUCCUGUGAUGAAAUCCAUACCUACUUCUUCCCAUUUCCAUUCACGCACUUGCAUUGGCUGCAACAACCCUGCAGGUCUUUGGUGCUCAGCUUUCACCCUCUGACAAGUGUCACAUAUGGCUAAAUACUCAGCCACAUCUUUCUUUAAUCCAUACCACCAAUAUUUUUCUUUAAGAUCUAGAUACAUCUUGGUGCUUCCGGGGUGAAUUGAAUAUGCAGAGUCAUGUGCUUCACGUAGGAUUGCAUCUUGGAUGGAUUUUACUUCAGGCACACAUAUCCUCUUCCCAAACCAUAGUGUACCAUUUUCAUCCAACCUGAAACCUGGUGCUUUUCCAAGCACUACAUUCUCUAAAAUUUCUUUUAAUUUCUCAUCCUCCAACUGACCAUUGCGGAUUUCUUGCUCUAGGGUGGGCUCUAACUCCAAUUCAACAGUGUUGUUCACUAAACCCAAUUUGAGAUGCUCUAUUUCAGCUAGCAACUCUGUGGGAAUGAAGGUCAAUUGCAUCCCAUUGGCAUAACUCUUUCGACUAAGUGCAUCGGCAACAAAGUUUGCCUUCCCGGGAUGGUAAUGCACUUCCAGGUUAUAAUCCUUUAUUAAUUCUAGCCAGCGGCGUUGCCUUAGGUUCAGAUCCGACUGUGUGAAAAUAUACUUCAAACUUUUGUAAUCCGUAUAAAUAUCACACUUGUGCCCAAUUAAAUAAUGCCUCCAAAUCUUUAGAGCAUGAACCACGGCAGCUAGCUCCAAAUCAUGAGUAGGAUAGUUCAGCUCAUGUUUUCUCAACUGCCUGGAUGCAUAGGCCACUACUCUUCCUUCCUGCAUAAGCACACAUCCAAGGCCUAGGCGAGAUGCAUCGCAAUAAAUAGAGAAGGUUUUACUCAAAUCUGGGAAGGUCAACACUAGAGCUGUGGUCAACCUUUUCUUUAGCUCCUCAAAAUUCUCUUGGCACUUAUCUCACAAAAUAAAUUUGGCACUCUUCUCUAGUAGGGCUGUCAUGGGCUUUGCUAACUUAGAGAAGCCUUCAAUAAAUCUUCUAUAAUACCCAGCUAAUCCCAGAAAGCUACGGAUCUCACUAGCAUUGGUUGGAGGCUUCCAAUUUAGCACAUCCUGCACUUUACUGGGGUCUACGGCUAUUCCACCGUUAGAGACCACAUGUCCCAAAAAUGAGACCUCAUCCAACCAAAACUCACACUUGCUUUUCUUGGCAUACAAUUUAUUCUCUCUAAGCUUUUGCAAGACCAGUCUCAAAUGUUCAGCAUGUUCUUCUUUUGUUUUGGAGAAGAUUAGUAUAUCAUCAAUGAAUACUACCACGAACUUAUCCAAGUACUCCAUGAACACCUUGUUCAUCAUAUACAUGAAGUAUGCAGGUGCAUUGGUCAGCCCAAAUGACAUGAUUGUAUACUCAUACAAGCCAUACCUUGUGGUAAAAGUCGUCUUAGGUAUGUCAGUUGCACAGAUUUUCAACUGGUGGUAGCCAGAUCGGAGGUCAAUUUUGGAGAACACACAUGCUCCUUUCAGUUGGUCAAAUAAGUCAUCUAUUCUAGGCAGUGGGUACUUGUUUUUAAUAGUGACUUCAUUUAAUGACCAAUAAUCCACACACAUCCUCCUAGUGCCAUCUUUCUUAUCAACAAAGAUUGCCGGUGCACCCCAUGGUGAAGAACUAGGACGAAUAAACCCUUUUUCUUGCAAUUCCUUAAGCUGUUUCUUAAGUUCCUCUAAUUCAUUUACCCCCAUUCUAUAUGGUCUUUUCGCUAUGGGUGCAGUUCCAGGUAAAAGCUCAAUAAGAAAUUCAAUGUCUCGGUCCGGUGGCAUACCUGGCAACUCGUCCGGGAACACAUCUAGGAACUCAUCCACCACCCGGUCUUCUUGAUUACCACCACUCAACUGAUUAACUGUAGUAGUCGGCUAAGGUUGUACUGCCACAUCCACACUUAUUCUGUCCCCACCUGGUGAUGUCACAACCACAGACCUCUCCUAACACUGAAUUACUGCCCCAUGCUGCUUCAUCCAAUCCAUUCCAAGUAUAAGGUCAAUUCGCAUGGUUCUUAACACAAUAGGUUUCACCUUGAAAUCUACCCCCUUAGAGAUAUACUAGUGGAGGGGCUCCAGUAAUUAGCUGGCAUGGUGCCACCCGGUGAAUUUACUAGCAUAGAAUUUUUCAGAGCACAAAGUCGGAUGCUAUGCACUCUAACAAAUGCUUGGGAGAUAAAUGAAUGUGAAGCACCAGAAUCAAACAGUACGGUAGCGGGGAUGGAGUUGAUGUUGAACGUACCCAUCAUAACCUCAGGUGCUUCCUGAGUUGUGUCAGUGGACACACGAUUUACUUUCCCAGAGAACGGAGGUCGAGCAGGCCUCUGAUUGCUGUUCUGGUUUUGCUGGGCUGGUGGAUUCUGCUUCUUGGGGCACUGGUAGGCAUAGUGUCCCACCUCUCUGCAGCGGUAACAGGCAUUGGGGUUGCCGCUGGGUGCUGCACUCUUGCCAGGAGCAUUGUUGGGCACUCCUUGGCGUGGUGCUUGGUUGCUGACCUGUUGCUGGGGGCGUUGCUAAUUCUGGUUGCCAUACUGCUGCUGGGGACGUUGUUGGUUCUGGUGGUUGUACUGAUGGUGGUACGGAGGACGCUGAGGAAACUGACCACGGUUCCACUGAUUUGGCGGUCCUUGACUGCGCUGAGGGAAUCCGUACUGAGGGUACGCACGUGGGCGAGUGUUGCUGCCCGACGGCUGCCCCUGGAGCUUUCUCUUCUUUGCAUCCAUCUCCUUGCGCUUGUUGUCGAUGACAAUAGCGCGGUUCACUAAUUCUUGAAAACAAGGGUAGGUGUUGCUCAUCAGCUGCAGCUGCAGUCCAUCAUACAAACCCUUCAGGAAGAGACGCUGCUUGUCAGAGUCCCUGGCCACCUCAUAUGGAGCAUAUCGUGACAGUUGAGCAAACUUGUCACGAUACUCACUGACUGACAUCGAUCCCUGCUUGAGAGACCGGAACUCUUCUGCUUUCAAUUCUAUCAGGCCCUUUGGAAUAUGAUGGGACCUGAACCCUUCAGUAAACUCCUUCCAGGUGACUGGCGGAGCAUUGUUCGGGCAUCCAUAUUGAUAGGACUCCCACCACUCCUGUGCAGGUCCUUGCAGUUGGCCUGAUGCGUACAACACUUUCUCCAGGUCGCUGCAUUGGGCUAUGUUCAACUGCUUUUCGACUGCUUUUAACCAGUCGUCUGCCUCCAGUGGAUCAGAGGCAUGGGUGAACACCAGGGGACGUCCCUUCAAGAACUCCCCACGCUUGUCAUGGACUUGAACCGGCGGUGGUGCUGCUACUGGUUCAUUGUCCAUACGGUUCAUCAUGGCUUGCAUCAGAUUAGCUUGCAUACCCAUGAGCUGCUCAAUAGUCAUCGGCGGCGGCAGUGGUGGUGGAUUCUCAGGUACACCACGUCCACGGCCACGACCACGGCCACGGCCACGUCCACGACCAGCGACUGCUCCUUCGGCGUCCAUCUGCUUCCAACAAAGAUUCACGGCUUUUAGUGAUCUUCCAAAAUAAUUAUUCAUCGCUUAUAAUGAAUAAAAACAAGACUAGCAGUUUUCUGGACAAGUUUCAAACUCAGCAGGUCAGUAAUCCAUGGUUAUCUCAGAAUCUAGAGGUCCAAUAGGAACAUGAUAUACAUCGUUGGAAAGGUUAAGAAAUUCUCUACAAACUUUAUUUAGACCACAUUUACUGGUUCCAACCGUAAAAUAAUCAAAAUUGUGGUUUAUCAGGUUCUGCUCUGGUUCUCAGUCUGCGCAGGUACAGCAGAUUAAAUCAGACAUAUCUCAUAGACCCGAACAGAUAAUGAGGUGAUUCCAGUUGGAAAUAAAAAAUAUACCAGUCUAGUUUUCACCAUAAAAAUUUCGUAAUUUUUGACUGAACCAAUUAUGAGAUACAGAAUAAACAUCACAGACUGCUCCAGAAACAGCACGACUGAGACAGAGAAUAAGUAACCCAACCUCACAUUAAGCAACAUUUACUUCUAAGAUUAAGGUUUAGAAACAUGCGGACAGGCCCACAUGUUUCCACAAUCAAACAAAACUCCAAAUCAUAAUUGUUCAUCAUCACAAACAGCAACACACUAAAGUUCACAUGCCACACAUUACUGAAAUACUCGUGCUAACGUCUAACUAGAAGGUAUUGGGAAAUCUAGGGAGCUCUAUCCUGCAGAACGAACUUGUGGGCUUCUUCUUGUUGAUGGGUGGCUGUCCAAGCUGACCACGCAGCUCAUCCACCUGGCGCUGGAGGCGCUUCCCCGCUUGCUGUGCAACACGCAGCUCCUGCCUCAGUGCCACAUUCAUCUCAACGUGUCUCACAGUCGUAUCCAGGGUAGGGUCACCGGCAGGAGGUGCCACGACAUGCCAUGUCCUGCCAUCUGGGUCGUUGCGGGGAAGGAACCGGUACCUAUCCUCCUGCAUGGCCUCAAAACGGCGGACGUGGUAGUGAAAGUACGCAGGUUGGGCUGCAUCCUCCAUGCUCUCAUAGGCGGAAGCACGCCUAACCCUGCUCUCAUGGAUGGACUCCAUCUCAUCCGAGUUGUCGACGUUGUUCCGAGCUGUGAUGAUCACCUCGGCCUUCCAGUAGGUGUUCUCCAACGGGUGCUUGUGCUCCGAGCAAAGGUAGCGGACGGUGGCAGCAAACUCCGGGUAGUAGCUCGCCAACACACCCGUGAGCAGAGUGUGGUAGUGAGUGUCCUCGUCAGCCACCAUGAACUUGUUCCUGGAGGUCCAUCCCAUCUCCGGAACAACCUGUGGGUGCUGAGGCGUCGGUGCUGAACCCAUCGACGCGUGGGGUGCAGGCGCAGGUGGUGCAGGCGCAGGUGGAGCAGGCGCAGGUGGUGCUGGAGCGGCGGCCUGCGGAAUCGGUACUGCCACCGGAGUAGGCGCUGAAGGUGUAGGCGUAGGAGACCCCGUGUCCUUAGGCUCCUCCUCCUCGCCGCCACCAGAGGCGAUGACCUCGGGCUCAGGUAGGUGCAGGUACUGGUGCUAGUGCUGGUGCAACUAGCGAAGCACGGUCGGCGGUGAAGAGGGCACGGUACGCGGCUGCGCUGCGACGAGGUAUCUAUAAAUUUUAUUUUAAGAAUUAGAAUCAAUAUGUUUACAUAAAUAGAACAGUGGGUAAGAAUAUAUAAAAUUUUAAUAAAAUAACAAGAAAGCAAAGUAAGCAGUGAAAUAAAUAAAGCAAAAAUAAAAACCCUAAAAUCGACUGUUUCUACCUAGGUUUGUGUCCUACAGUCAGCCUUACUUUGAUACCAAUUUGUCACACCCAAAUUUAAGGAUAAAUUUGAGUACAAUAAUCUCAUGUGCUCCCCAGGAAUAGUCGCGCACACAAGUCGACAAAUUACAAAUGUAUCAUCACAAGUGUCUUACAUAACAUUAUUACAACACAAAUAUAUCAAUGUCUGCGACAAACGGAAAUAAAACACAUAACUCUAAGCUUGGUAGCUCCAAUCACAGGGACGACCGACUGGUGGAUCGCCAACCUAGAAGUCCUCAGGGAAUUCUUCAUAAUAGCUUUCAUUUGUUACCCAUCCGGGAUUUUUGUCCAAAAAGAAAUAAAGAGACAAGCGUGAGUACAUCUCGUACUCCGCAAGCAUAACAUAGGAUUUUAUGCGGCUCAAAAAGGUCAGACACUGGCUACUGGAGUUAGCAUUUUAAUUGGUCAAUGUUUUAAUCCUAUUUUAUCAUGAAAUAUGCUUAAGUUCCCGAUUAGCCCAAAUGAGUACAUGAUUUUUUUAGAUAAAGGAUAUACCAUCCGGCCUCUAUAUCCGAGGAUGUACACAGCCCAGUAUUACAGAGUUUGAUAUGAGAAAAACAAAGAGAGCCAAAGUCCUAUACAUGGACUAGGACGCUAGUUUAAACAAUAUAAAUGUUUCCAUCCUUUAUUGGAUAUCUCUAAAGCAAUUACUUCUAAUUUCUUGCUUAUCUUGGAGAGCACGUCCUUGGCUGUCUCAACAAGCUGCAGCUGAGCCCAAAAGCGUAACCAGUACGCUCCCCUAAAAAUUACCUGCAUAAUAGAGUUAGUUUUCAUUUUAUUAAAAACAUAAUCAUUGCGGCAUCUCCAGAUAGCCCAAAGCAAAGCAGCCACCCCCACCCAAAUCAGAUUUCUAAUCUUUUUAUUUUGAUUAGAUAGCCAAGUACCAAACAUGUGGCUGAUUGAUCUAGGUUGGGUCAAACUAGUAGCAAAGAAGAUAAGCCUCCAAAUCAUUUUGGUGAAGGGACAGUCUAGGAAUAAAUGUUGAAUAGUUUCAUUCCCAUUACAGCAAAUGCACUUCUGACUCCCUUUCCAAUUUUUCCUAGCAAGGUUGUCUUUGGUUAGGACGACACCCCUUUGCAGGAACCAGAGAAAAAUUUUAAUUUUUAGAGGUACCUUUAUCUUCCAUAUCUUCCUAUGCCGAAAGGGUGUAUGUGUAUCUAUAAGAUUGAGAUACAAGGAACGGACAGAGAAUAACCCAGAUCUGGUUAAACUCCAUCUGAAAUAAUCUGAACCAUCCACCAAUUCGACAUGGGAUAUCUUUGCCACUAGACUAAGCCAAUUUGUAAGUUUAUUAUCCACCAAGGCUCUCCUAAAAGAUAUGUUCAGAGGGUUCGUACUCAUCACUUUUGAGACUGUGGCGUGAGGAUCUCUCACUAUGUUGUAUAAAGAUGGAUAACUAGCUUUCAGAGACUUAGCCCCUACCCAUGUAUCUUCCCAAAACCUAGUUGCGGUUCCAUCAUUAAUAUGAAAAGAACAUUUUGCCAACACCUCAUCUUUGAUACGCAUGAGGCCUCUCCAAAAAUGGGAGUCAUUGGGCUUAGCUGUCGCCUGGGAUAGGCUUUUGGAGUUUAGGUAUUUAUUCCUUAAAAGCGUUUGCCAUAUACCUUCUGUAUUCAAUAGAUUAACUAGCCAUUUGGCUAGGAGGCACUUGUUUUGCAAUUGUAAAUUUAGGAUACCUAAUCCUCCUUGAUCCUUAGGGCGGCACAGGAUGUCCCAUUUGGCAAGGCGAUAUUUAUGUUUGUCAGAAGAUCCUUGCCAAAAGAACCUUGAUCUAUAAUGAUCUAGGUUCUUUAAGACUCCCUUGGGAAUCUCAAAGAAGGACAUCAUGAACAUCGACAGGCUACUUAGGACUGAAUUAAGCAGUACUAGUCUUCCCCCAUAAGACAGGUACUUCGCUUUCCAGCAAGAGAGUUUCUGUUUGAAACGAUCUUCUACUUUUCUCCAUUCAGAAUUAAGGAGUUGUCUAUGAUGCAUAGGGAUCCCAAGAUAUCGGAAGGGAUAUUCACCAGUAUUGCAUCCAAAGAGACUAUUAUAAAAGGAUUCCAUCUCUUUAGCAGCUCCAUAGCAGAAGACUUCGCUCUUGUGGAAAUUGAUCUUCAGCCCUGAUAGCUGUUCAAAAGCACAAAGCAACAGUUUCAAAUUCUAUGCUUGUUCGAGGUUGUGGUCAAUAAAGAUAAUGGUGUCAUCUGCAUACUGUAAUAUGGACAGACCAUCAUCUAUAAGGUGGGGUAUAACACCUCUUAUCUGACCGUCGGCUUUUGCUCUGUUAAUAAGGAGAGCUAGCAUAUCUACGACGAUGUUCAAUAAGAUUGGUGACAUUGGAUCUCCCUGUCUGAGUUCACGUUUGGCUGGAAGUAGGGCCCUAUGUCAUCAUUGACUUUGAUUCACACACUCCCACCUGUGACCAUAGUUUCUACCCAUCGACACCAUUUGGGAGAGAAACCUUUCAUACGUAGCGUUUGUUGUAAAAAAGACCACUUCACUUUGUCGUAUGCCUCUUCAAAAUCAAUUUUGAAAAUGACACCAUCUCUCAUUUUAGUGUGAAGCUCAUGGAUGGUUUCGUGUAAGAUGACGACCCCCUCCAUUAUAUUCCUGCCUGGCAUAAAGGCAGUUUGUGUUGGUCUCACUACAGUUUUGGCUACCAUAUUAAGCCUAUUUGUGCCCACUUUAGUAAAAAUUUUAAAGCUCACAUUAAGAACACAAAUUGGCCUGUAUUGCUGAAUUUUUAUGGCAUUAUUAACUUUUGGGAUUAAGGUAAUAAUACCAAAAUUCAGACUAUAUAGGUCAAGAGUCUCCCUAUGCAGCUCAGUGAAUAAGGGAAGGAGAUCAUCCUUUAUCACUUCCCAAAACACCUGAUAGAAUUCCACUGGAAAACCAUCUAGUCCUGGAGUUUUAUUAUGCUCCAUUUGGAAGACCGCAUCCCUCACUUCAGAUUCAGUGAAAGGGCUAAUGAGGAUGUCAUUUUCCUCCGGAGAUACCUGUGGAAUAUCUAGGAUUUGGUCUUCCCUAAGGGAAAGCUCUACACUCUUCGGCUGUCCAAAGAGUUCUUUAUAGUAAGUCGUAAUAUGUCUUAUGAGAUUAUAAUCUCCUAUCACAGCACCUUGAUCAUUCUCAAGUUUAUAGAUAUGCUGCUUGCGAUGUUUCCCGUUGGCCACUAAAUGAAAGAACCGAGUGUUAGCAUCCCCUUCCAAUAGGGUUUUAACUUUGGCUCUCUGGUACCAUUUCAGUUCCUCCUCUCUCAGAAGGUUAACCAAACGCUCUUUUAGAUAAUGCUUCAGAUUGAUCUCUUGAUCACAUAAAGGAGAGAUCUCAGCUUUCUUAUCAAUUAUCUCUAAAAGAGCUAACAGAGUCUUUUUUUUCUUUUUGAUAUGACCCUGCUGUGUGUUUUGCCCAUCCCCUUAGAUAUUGGCGGAGUCUACGAAUUUUAAACUGCCAUCGUUCAAGGGGAGUUGACCCAGAGCAUGGAGAUUGCCAAAUAUUUGCAACCAUAUCAUAAAAUCCAUCUCUUAUCAACCAUCCUCUCUCAAAUUUGAAAGGACUAUUGUGGGCCUGGUGGGUAUGGUCUGAAAUAUUACCAUCCCUUGGUUCUACUGUGGUUAAUGGAAACAUGAUCUCCAUUUCUGUGGUAACUAGGACUCUAUCCAACUUUUCAAAAGUUGGAUUAUCCCCUGGGCCAGUCCAUGUGUAUUGGCGGCCAGUCAUAGUAAUCUCCUUAAGAUCUAGAGAUUCAAUAAUAGCAUUAAAAAGAUCUGGCCAUUUAGGGUCAAAGUCCCCAGUACUUUUAUCUUCAGGGCAUCGCAUAAUAUUAAAAUCCCCUCCUAUGAUAUAUGGUAGGGAUUCUUUAGAGCACGUGUUAGCCAUUUCAACUAGGAAAUCACGCUUAUGCUGGAGUUGUGCUGGUCCAUAGACCGAAUAUAGCACAAACUUAAAGUCAUUUGAUUUGACUCUAAGGGUGAAUUUUACAUAGUAGUCUCCCUCCACAAUAGCUCCAAUGUCAAAGACAUUCAUGUCCACACCUAGCAAGAUAACCCCCCGACCUACCGUGGGGUGCCAUAGUGUGCCAAAGGAAAUCAUGUCCUCCACAAAGAUUUUUAAGAACAUGAUCUGGGAAUGAGUCCCGCCCUGUUUCGGAAAGCGCAAUAAAAUUAAUCUGCUCUUCCUUAACUAGUUCAGCCAAAUACCUAUGCUUAGCCAAGUCUCCCAGACCUCUGCUAUUCCAGAAGACACCCUUCAUUUUAUGAUAAUUUUGGAAGGGGUUUUUAGUUUUUUAGGAAGUUUGCCUUUCAAAGUAUUUUUGGCAUUAUUGUAUUUUUCUUCCUUGGGAGUGGAGAGAGAUCGAUUAAUUGAUCACUCUCGUCCUCCAGCAAAUUCCCAUUUAAAUUACCACAGGCGUGGCUGAGAAUUGCAUCAAUUUGGCUUUCUCGCUCAUCAUCACUCUCAAAAUUGGAGAGUCUAGAUUUGAUAGAGCAUUUUUUUCAUUAGCACAUAAAACCAACCAAUCUACCUCUAAGUUUUUAAAACACAGAACGUCUGAGGUAUCUAGGUUGAUGCCUAUCCUACCAAGGUUUGAAAUAACUUUAGGAUCUGGAAAGCUAGCGAAAGAGUUACCUGGAAAUUUGAAGUUCUUUUUCGCUGCCAUCCGUUCAACCUUGUGCAAAUCAUCCUGAAGAUUACCUAUGAAUUCAAGGUUCUUCUUUGCCGUCAGUCGUUCGGACUUCUGUAGGGUAUGGACGUCAGCCAUCGCCGCAAUCCUGGAGCUCCGUUGCAACUCUUUAAUAGGAGGAGCAGCCGCUGGGGGUUUGAAAACCCCCACUGUCGGUGAAGCCUUGGCCAGCUGCGAAGGAGAUGGAGGGGACCUGGGUAGCGACGCAGCAGCAGCCGUCGGUGAGCAGGUCGCGGGCGUUAGGGGGGCCAUGUCCGACAUCCCCCCCUCCUCCAGCGUAGCAGGCAGCGAAGGAGAUGAGGAAGCAGCGAGCGGCGUGCCGUCCUCCUGUUGCGAAGCAACUAGCAAGGGGGAAGAGGGCGCAUCCCCCUCCUUGACGGCCCCCUUUGGCAUGGUUGCUGCAGGCGUCGGGUCCACGGGUGGGGAAGCUUUGCCCUCUGUCGUCUCGGCGGCAGGGGGGAGGAUGGCGAUCGAAGCACCCACCUCCCCAUCAGACGGUGUUGUGGCCAUGGUGCCACUUGGAGCAGUGGGCGAGGGGGCACUGAACAGGAUCACGCCCCCCCCAGCUCAUCGAUGGCAGUGUCCCCAGAGGUCGGUGAAGUAGAAGGCGAGGGGGUAGAUGAUGAAGCACCCCUUCUCCCUUCUGCAGGCGCAGGGCCAUCCCACACCUCAGCAGGGCGCGGAGUCGGCUGAGGCGAGGUAGGCGCUGCGUGCUCCCCGGUCGGUGGGGAGGCUGGGGGCUCCUCAGGCGGGGUCGGUGCAGCGUGCUCCCCAGUCGGUGGAACGGCUGGGAGAGCAGGCAUACCAACUACGGCAUGGGAGCUGCUGCCUAGGGGGCUCUCGCCACCCAGCUCGUCAACGGCGUCGGUCCUGUCCUUCAGCGGUGGAUGGCCAGGGGAGGCUUCAUGGCCACUGCCAUCCCCGUCGGCUAGAGAGGCCACGGGCAGCUCCCCCCCAGCUGCUGCUUCGUUUGUUGGGGUAGAGAGCGCUUUGUCCAUUCCACAUCUUGCCGGGCUGGAAUAAUCCAGAAGUGGUGCACCCAAGGACAGUGAGUCCGUGCCAAGAAGAGGGGCGGUAGGCGCUGAAGAACCCCCCAACUCAGCGUGGUCUGUCGGCGUCUCCAGAGAUGACACAAAAAUAGAAGAAAGGUGAGUUUUGUUAUGAGAAUCAACAAGCCCAUUAUAAUCUGCCAGUUCUUCUGUUGUCGGAGGAGAAAAUUUUUUCCCCAUCUCUCCGUCAUCUUUUUCCACCAUGACCUUAAGGCUAAUCUCAUUUAUAAGCUGCGAGCAUGCCAGAUCCAGGGCCUCUUUCACCAAAGCCUCCUACUUCUGCGUUGGCACAUUAUGCAGAGGUGCUGGAGCUGCCUCCGAGGCCUUCGAAUUAUUCUGGGGAUGAUAGCAAUUGGUUCCUUCACCAUCACGGUUAAACCACAUUAAUCAUCACGAUCAAUGCGUCAGAUUUUCAUGUUAUUUCCCCAUAACCAUCCACACCCAACUAUUCCGUAAGGGUCCAAGGCCGCUCAAGUCCGAGAGCACGGCUAGUAUACCAGUUUGAUCAAACUCUGCGCAGAGGUGUGCACUUUUCCUGUAAGUCGUGUUACCCAUAUGCCCGGGGUUUGCAAGACCCACUUACACUGCCAAGGUGAGCGGGCAAGGAACACUAUGAAGCCUUCCAUAGGCCACGCCUAACCAGUUAGGGCCGUGAGGUUUCCUCAGCAGGCAGAUAUAGAGGAACCCUCUUUCCUAUCGCACAUUUCCAUCACGGCUAUACACAUAGGAACAAAAGCAGUUCUAUACCCAAAGUGGAAAGCCCCUCUUGCGCCCUUUCGGGUAACCUCUAACAAGCUAGAUGAGAUCCUACUACUGAGCUAAAGUUAGAGCCAUAUAACCAUCACGGUUGCACCUUAGCCCUUUUCCCAUUCAUUUGCCAUCAUAUUAAUUAAAGUCAGAGUGAUAGUAAGGUCUCAAUUACUUAAAGCACUAGCAACGCUACCCACAUGCAUUCUACCCAUAGAUGUCAUAAAUAUAUAGUCAGGUGGCUAGGAUGUCCUUAGGGUUAUCAAAAUUAGACACAUGCAGAUGCGUAAUUAAUUAAGUGAAUAGGUGUACAAGGGAAACCCAUGUUAUACUUGCCUUCGGUGAAGGGAAGCUGCUGCUGGUCCUGCUGCUCCUCGGAGUAAAACGGAUCACCCACGGACACGUCACCGUCUACGCUCGAUCGGUACCACACAACAACACGCAUUCCAAGUUCAAUCAUACAAGCAAAACAAUCCUUUAGUUAGAACAGUACACCAACAGAUCAAAAAUGAAAUAAAAUAUUUAAAAACAGAACCUACGUUUCGCUACGAACACACAGAUACGAAGAUCACGAAAAUCAGAGCUAAAACGAUCAAGUUACGAAUUUUCGGCGAUUUCCUAUAGGCAUUUAAUUAAUUAAACCUAAUCCUAAAAUAAAAAGUUGCAAACUACAGAAACAAUAGUACUAACAUAUAGAGAAUUUAAUUACGAAUCCAACGCAAUUCGAACGGGUCAAAUCAGAGCUAAAACGAAUAUUUUAUGGCCAAAACAAUGUAGUGGCAAUCUUGUAAAUAAAACAUGAUUUAAUCGGAUUUAAAUAAAUUCAGAAAUUCUAGAAUUUCUCCUAGCCGAGGACUGCGGGUUGAUUAGGGAGAAGUAUAGGGUUUCUUUAGCAAAAUUCACCCACGAAGGGGUAUGGAGCAUCCUGGGCCACUGGAUCGCGAACGGACGGCCAGGAUUAGAAGGGGGAAAGGGGAAGGAGGAGGCCGGCGGCUGGAACAGUGCAAGGGCGGCGGCGCGCCAUGGCCGGCAAGCCAAAACUCGCCGGAGUUGGCCGCGACAGGGCUACGGGGCUCGGUUUUCAAAUUCGACAGCACAGGGAGGUAGAGGAGGGCGAGGGGAGCUUGAUUCCAACCCUUGCGUGGCCGGGGAGGGGCUCGCGCACCACGGUCCGCGGCGGCGCCAUUGCCGACCCGCCGGAGCACGCGGUUACAGCGCUAUAACGCAUCAAAACGCGAAGGGAGAAGUGCGGGAGAGAGCGGGGGCGCUGGCGAGCUCACCGGGGAGGAAGAAGGGGACGGGGACGGACCAAAUUCGCGGGGACACCGCGCAGCAGUUCACGACGGCUUCGACGAUUUCUCUGAGCGCACCAGCAGUGGAAACGGAGGCGAGGAGAGGGGGGGAAAUGGGGAGGGGAAGGUGCUCGGGCGCGCGGGCUCUCCACUACUUGCUGAUAUGCGGGGAAGAGGAGGGAGGUCGUGGGGAAGCGGGGGGCGCGGCUCGGCAGUUCGUGGGAGAGAGCGAAGCGGGGCAGACGGUUGGGGGGAAGAGGGAGCUGACAGGCGGGCCCGGCCUGUCAGCGGGGAGAGAGAGGGAAGGGGGAGCCGGCCAGCUGGGCCUGGCCCAAGAGAAAGGGGGAGGGGGCGCGGGGUAGCCGGGCCAGAAGGCUGAAAGGGGAAAAGAGGAGGGGGAAAAUUCCAGUUUCCUUUUAUAUAUUUUUUAUACCAAAUUUCCAAUUGAAAUUUUGAGCAGGAAAAAGAAAACAAAUAAAACAUUUUGUUUUCCUACCAAUCAUCACAAAAGAAAUGCUCCAGCAUGAAUGCAACAAAAAUUAUUAUUCUAAACUUAUUUUAAAUUUUAAUUUCCCCAAUUUUAUUUAUUUUCCUAUAUUGAAAAUGCUCACAAAAUAAUUCAUUUAAAUUCAAUUCAUCUAUUUAAAAGAAAUAAAAUUUUUGGGUGUUACAGUCGUGCCACGAGCUAGAAGUGAUAUUUUCAUAUCACUAUCGGGUUUUAAGAUGACCGGAUAAUGUUCUUUAACCGUUAGAUCCACCUAUUUAUUGAUUCGCCAUUGUUGGAUCCUACUAUCGCCAUUGCUUCUGGUUAGAAAAUAAUUCUCCAAAUGCCCUGCCUGUGACGACCUCUUAUAGUCCAACAAGUCAUUGGUUCACCAUUUGUGUAUCUAUGUGUAAUAGUAAAGAGCCAAAAUUUCUGCCACUAAUUUUUUCAUCCAGCCUAAUCACUGAUUCUGUCUCGGAACCCGCUUGUGAAGUCCCACGUCUGAUUAUCAUCUUACCUGUGGACAUGUUCCCAUCUGUGUCCUUUGUCUCGCAAAGUCCCCGCAUCCAUUUUUUCUUCAAUGAAAACGUUAUCUACCGAGUGCAUUGUCGAGUUCAUUUUUUAUCUUUUUUUCCCUUUCGCUUUCUCACGUUUAGUUGUGACUUUUUUGUUUCUUCUUUUUUGUCUUUUGUUUUUUCUUAUAAAUACAGAAAAAUAAAAAAUAAUCAAUGUAUUAUUUUAAGUCUUUGAAAUUCUAAUCCUUUUCUAAUAAAUAAAUAGUUCCAUCACUAAGGCCUGUUUGGAACACGGUAAUUUUUCCCUGUUCCCGAACUCAUUCCUAUGAAAUUUCUGCAUAAUUCCUGUGAAAUCCAUGCGUUCCAAAUUGGCCCUUAAGUUGAUGGAGUUUUAAUUAUAUUAGGAAUAAAGCUUAUAAUAUUAGGAUCUGGACUAGGCGAUGGUCUAAUCAAUCUGUGGACUGAAAUCUUAAGUAGUUUGUCAUCCAAUCCAUUCUAUAUAUAUAUAUAUAUAUAUAUAUAUAAUCACAAUAAUAUCAGUACAAGCUUCCAAGCUGUCUACAUAUACCAGUACUAUUCUCAACGAGGACAGACAUGUCAAAAUCGAGAGAGGUCUUAGUCAUACUCAUCAAGGAACAGACAAAAUUAUUAUCUAAUUAUGGACUAACUAGGCUCAAAAAGUUUAUUUUGCAAAUUAUAAGCAAACUAUGCAAUUAGUUAUUUUUUAUCUAUAUGUAACGCUUUAUGUAUGUGCCACAAAAUUCGAUGUAACGGGGAAUCUUGAAAAGUUUUUAGAUUUUGGAUCGAACUAAACAGGGCCUUAGUUCAUUUUUGCAAUGUCUCGAAUCCUGAGUUCAUUUCCAAUCCCAUUCAUUUUCACCCUAAUCCGACAGCAGAACAGCAUAGUAAAUUUACCAUAUGCCUCUCUGGUGUUCUCCUCCUUCCCCCACCUAUAAAAGGAGAAGCUAGGGUCCAGCAAAGAAAGGUGUAGGGUUGUUACCCUCACUGGUAGCUGGAACCUAGAAAAUCUUGUGUUCGUUUUCCAUCUGAGAUGGUUGAGAGAUAUUCUAUCAUUUUGGACGCUGACAUGAGUUAACGAAGGUGCAUGGUGGGUACAUGCUCCUUGUUGGGCACAUCAAAGUGUCAACACAAAUGUUUAGGCUAAGAACACCUUUUAUUUUUUUGGCAUGGCAUGUUCUUUGUACCACAAAAGUCACAUCUUACAGAGCCUACACUAUUGGUGUAGCCCCAUGUCUUGGAUCUUUGUUGCAGCAGCAUUCGUCCUUCAUCGGGUUUUUCUUGCUUUUGCAGUGGGAACCAACACCAGUGUAGCCCCAUCCUCGACAAGCAAGCCAGCACCCAUAAGGUCUGCAAAUUGGGUACUGCCUGCAAUCUAUCUCUGCUCGUGGCAGUGGCAGUUUAUUUUCCUGGCAGCAAUUGAAGCCUACAUAUCCAACAUAAAUAACAUCAAACAAGACAGUAUCAGAGACUUCCUCUUGCAGCACUAGGAGCCUACAUAUCUAACACAUUAAUUUCUUUAAAUUUAUUGGAGCACUAACACUAACUAAUGUUUCGAUAUCAUAAGAAAUGAAGUAUACAUAAAAGUAUGU
rnacentral:lncRNA from 1 species